rnacentral:rRNA from 1 species
CACGUAGGGGGCGAGCGUUGUCCGGAUUUAUUGGGCGUAAAGAGCUCGUAGGCGGUUUGGCAAGUCGGGUGUGAAAUUUCGAGGCUCAACCUCGAAACGCCACUCGAUACUGCCAUGACUGGAGUCCGGUAGAGGAGUGCGGAAUUCCUGGUGUAGCGGUGAAAUGCGUAGAUAUCUGGAGGAAUACCGGUGGCGAAGGCGGCAUCCUGGACCGAGAUUGACACUGAUGAGCGAAAGCCAGGGGAGCAAACGGG